GUUGCGUUAUUUACGGCGGUGACCGAUAUCAGUUAGAUUUCCAAUUUCCUUUGACUAUUAAAAAAUUGACCCUAUCUUAUUUUCGCUUGCCAUGGAGCAAAAUGGCAGCAAUUGGAAAUCUACCCAAUCUUGAGGUGCUCAAAUUACUCAAACAAGCCUUUGAGGGGGAAAUAUGGGAAAUGGAAGUAGAGAAGUUCCCUAAAGUUCGUUUCUUGAAAUUAGCUUCCUUGAACAUUGUGAAGUGGACAGCCUCCUCCGAGUAUGAGUACGAGGAGCAGUACUAUUUUCCUCGUCUCCAGAAGCUAGUAUUGGAUCGCUGUGGAGCGUUGCAGGAGAUCCCUUCUUGUUUGGGAAAUAGUUAUGCCCUUGAAAUAAUUGAGGUGUCAAAAUGUCCCAGCUGUACCAGUUCAUUGGAGGAAAUUCAGGAAGAGCAAAGAAGCAAUGGAUAUACCGAUCUGAAGAUCCUUACCUCAUAAUGGACGAUUGAUCUUCUCAAUACUGGAAAGCUGCAAGUUUUUGGAGGAGAUCCCUUCUUGUUUGGAAAAUCUAUCAACUCUUGAAAUAAUUGAGGUGUCUAAAUGUGCCAACCGUACCAGUUCAGUGGAGCAAAUUCAGGAAGAGCAAUUAAGCAGGGGAAAUACACUGAUCUGAAGAUCCUUAUUUCAUGAUGGAUGAUUGAUCUUCAUUCUACUUUUCUUUUUUAAUCCUUUACUUCUGCACACAUACUGGUUAUGUUGUAUCUGUUGAGCAUCAAUCAAGAUCAAGUUGUUCUUGUUUUCUUUGCAA